AGAACGAACGCUGGCGGCAUGCCUAAUACAUGCAAGUCGAACGAACACUUCGGUGUUAGUGGCGCACGGGUGCGUAACGCGUGGGAAUCUGCCCUUGGGUUCGGAAUAACAGUUGGAAACGACUGCUAAUACCGGAUGAUAUCGAAAGAUCAAAGAUUUAUCGCCCAGGGAUGAGCCCGCGUAGGAUUAGCUAGUUGGUGAGGUAAAGGCUCACCAAGGCGACGAUCCUUAGCUGGUCUGAGAGGAUGAUCAGCCACACUGGGACUGAGACACGGCCCAGACUCCUACGGGAGGCAGCAGUAGGGAAUAUUGGACAAGUGGGCGCAAGCCUGAUCCAGCAAUGCCGCGUGAGUGAUGAAGGCCUUAGGGUUGUAAAGCUCUUUUACCCGAGAUGAUAAUGACAGUAUCGGAAGAAGUAAGCCCCGGCUAACCUCCGUGCCAGCAGCCGC
rnacentral:rRNA from 1 species